GGGCGCACGGUGGAUGCCUUGGCACUAGAAGCCGAUGAAGGACGUUACUAACGACGAUAUGCUUUGGGUAGCUGUAAGUAAGCGUUGAUCCAGAGAUUUCCGAAUGGGGGAACCCAACAUGAGUUAUGUCAUGUUAUCGACAUGUGAAUUCAUAGCAUGUCAGAAGGCAGACCCGGAGAACUGAAACAUCUUAGUACCCGGAGGAAGAGAAAGAAAAAUCGAUUCCCUGAGUAGCGGC
rnacentral:rRNA from 1 species